rnacentral:tRNA from 1 species
GGUGGCUCAGUGGUAGAGCGCUUGCCUUGCAUGCAUGAGGCCCUGGGUUCAAUUCUACCAGCACCA